GAGCGCUGGGCCGCCCGCAGCCGGAGAGUGUCGCCCCUCCUGAAGGCCCUGGGCAGGUGAAAUGAGGACCAGCGCUGACAAAGGGCAGGAUGCAGAAGACUCCUGACUUUGGAUCUCAGAUCACCCUCGGAAGCUCCGAUUCGGAUCCGCGUCCACAGACCCGGCGACCUCAGACAGACCGGGCGUCCGGGGAAGAGGCGGCGGCAGUGAGCACCGCAGUGAGGAAACCAGGCUCCGGCGAUCCCCAGGCCUUACGCCCGACCCCAGGGCAUUUGGGAGCAGGUCUGCGUCCGGGACCAGCACACUCUGGACGGGAGCUCUGCCUUUCUGGGGUCCUCCAGCUGAAGGAUGUGAGUUGCAAGAAACCCAUUCUGUAGACCUCGAAAUCAGCGGGGAGCCCCAGGCACUUGUGGGGGGACUUUGAUGUGGCUCCCACGCAUCCACCCGGCACCGCGUGGAUUGCCAGGGGCAGGACGAGCUUGAGUGGACGCUGGGUUCGCUGAGCCCCCCAGAGGCUCCUCGCCCUGGGUCACCUGUGCCGCCUUGGACCACCCAGAGAAACCUUUCCUCCCACCAGGUGAGCCGCAGGCCAGGCGCCAGGCCUGAGUGUGCCCGGGACGGGGAUUUCUCUGUGAACGGCCCAUCAUCCCAUAAUAUCCACGUUGUCUUAGCCUCAUGUUCUGAAGAAACACGAAUUUCAUACACAAGCGUGGAUUUUUGCAUGUUUUAAAUUGUAAAUGCGACUAACUCCAAGGAAGUUGGAACUUGAAGCAGGCUCAAAGCAAACUUAGUCGCGUCAUCCGCCACCAUCCUCCAGGGUAAACCGAGGAGCACAGUUAAUUGGUUUUCCACGGGUAUUUGCCACUUGUCAGAUGGGCUGUUAUGGACGUAACCACGUAAUUCCUGGAACCCAGUGAGAGUCAGCUUCCUUUACGGGCGUCUGACAAGAUGUGCUCAAACACCUUGAAGAUCUUUAUGGAAACAACUUUUGGCUCUUUAUCAAGAUGUCAUUCAGGGCUCUGAACAGUCGAAUACGUUGUGGAUGGGUUUGCUGUAGUUAUACAGUGUGCAUUUGAUACUUGUCAAUAGCGCUAGUAAUGUUAUUGCAAAAAUAAAACCUUCUUUAAAAAAGAGGCCGGGCGCGGUGGCUCACGCCUGUAAUCCCAGCACUUUGGGGAGGCUCAGGCAGGUGGAUCACGAGGUCAGGAGAUGGAGACCAUCCUGGCUAACAUGGCGAAACCCCGUCUCUAGUAAAAAUACAAAAAAUUAGCCGGGUGUGGUGGCGGGCGCCUGUAGUCCCAGCUACUCGGGAGGCUGAGGCAGGAGAAUGGCGUGAACCUGAGAAGCGGAGCUUGCAGUGAGCCGAGAUGGCACCACUGCACUCCAGCCUGGGCGACAGAGCGAGACUCUGUCUCAAAAAAAAAAAAAAAAGAGAAAAAAGAAAGAAAGAAAAGUGGCCCGGCACAAUGGCUCACGCCUGUAAUCCCAGCACUUUGGGAGGCCGAGGCUGGCGGAUCGCGAGGUCAGGAGUUCGAGACCAGGCUGGCCAGCAUGGUGAAACCCUGUCUCUACUAAAAAUACAAAAAUUAGCCGGGCAUGGUGGCCCGCGCCCAGGCAGGCUGUUCUGGGAGAGAAAACUUGGCUCUCCAAUGCGGUGUGGCCAUUUGGCUAUGACAUCACACUGCAUAGUUUAAUGAGUGAAAUCAGACCUCUUCUUGUUAUUGGAGAUGACUGGAGGAUUUUUUUUUUAUUUUCCUGAAUGUAAGUAGGUAAGCCAUGAAGAUCCCAGAUUUCAUUCAGGGACUCAGAACCAGCAGCAAGGAGCAGGCUGCGUGGAGAAAACAGAGUUGGCUCUGGAGUACCCCAUGAGUCCAGCUUGUUCAAAGUAAAAGUGGCAAUGGCUUUGGGAUCACAAAACAGCCCUUGAACAUCAAAGUCAAUUAGUAGAAACCCCUAAAUAUCAUGGGGCAAAAAAUAUUUCAAAUUUACUUAAAUAUUCGGUUUAUCAGAUGGGACUCACUUUUUUUUUCUUUUUUUUUUUUAAACAGAUUCUCACUCUGUUGCCCAGGCUGGAGUGCAGUGGCGCCAUCUUGGCUCACUGCACCCUCUGCCUCCCGGUUCAAGCAAUUUUCCUGUCUCAGCCUCCUGAGUAGCUGGGACUACAGGCACGAGCCACCACGCCCGGCUAUUUCUUAUAUUUUUAGUAGAAAUGGAGUUUCACCAUGUUGGCCAGGCUGGUCUCAAACUCCUGACCUCAAGUGAUCUGCCAGCCUGGACCUCCCGAAGUGCUGGGAUUGCAGGCGUGAGCCACGGUGCCCUGCCGGGACUCAAUUUUUAACACCUAUUUUUAACACUAGCUUUUGUGCUAGUAAAUUAAAUUAAUUCUUUUAAAAAAACCCAAUUGUGUGUACUUUAACAAGUAAAACUAAGUUGGUUAUAAUGUGACAAAAAUACAAGCAAUAAUAAUAGCAAAAUUAUCCAAUAGGAACCAUGCAGAGAGUUUUAUAUUAUAACUCAUGUCCCCUUUCCUGCAAUGUUAUUAACUUCUAUCCCCAUUUUCCACAUCAAGGAAAUUAAGUUUGGAGACAC
rnacentral:lncRNA from 1 species